rnacentral:rRNA from 1 species
GUGGGGAAUAUUGGACAAUGGGCGCAAGCCUGAUCCAGCCAUGCCGCGUGAGUGAUGAAGGCCUUAGGGUUGUAAAGCUCUUUCAGUGGGGACGAUAAUGACGGUACCCACAGAAGAAGCCCCGGCUAACUUCGUGCCAGCAGCCGCGGUAAUACGGAGGGGGCUCGCGUUGUUCGGAUUUACUGGGCGUAAAGCGCACGUAGGCGGAUCGUUAAGGCGGGGGUGAAAUCCUGGAGCUCAACUCCAGAACUGCCGUCGAUACUGGCGAUCUUGAGUCCGGAAGAGGUGAGUGGAACUCCUAGUGUAGAGGUGGAAUUCGUAGAUAUUCGGAGGAACACCAGUGGCGAAGGCGGCUUACUGGUCCAUUACUGACGCUGAGGUGCGAAAGCGUGGGGAGCAAACAGGAUUAGAAACCCGAGUAGUCC